GGUAAAUUAGGACAAGAGAUGUUUCUAUUUUGCACUGCUCAUACUGUACAUACUGUGAUUCAUCUGAUGGGUUUCUUGCACCUGCAAAUGACAGCGUCAUGAUGUUGUCAACGGUGUGAGGCAGAAGGUGUAACCAAAUAUGAUGCAGGUGAAGCUGCUGCAGAUCAGAAAGAGCAAAAAGGUUCAACAACCAUGAAAUCCUAGCUGAGGACGUGCGAGACUGGGAUAUAGCCAGUGACCGGGGGCAAGGGCAGCGUGCGCAGGGUGAUCGACGAGGACUACUGCGGCCCGAUGGGAGUCGUGCUCUUCAACUACUCGGAGGCAGACUUCACCGUGAAGCCCCGCGACCGCGUCAUACAGAUUAUCGUCCAGGUGAUUGCGACGCAGGAGGUCCCCGGGUUGGAGGACCUCGACGCCACCGUCCGGACGUCACCGAGGUGGAGGACGACGCCACCGUCCGGAGUUCCUCAAGGUGGAGGACCUCGACGCUUUGUACAUACAUCUAGAGAAGUGGUCUGGUUAGGUUGGUGGUGAAACGCUAGGGAAGGUACCAACCUUUUGAUGAUGGUUGUGUGUGUCCUCGUGAUCUCUUCGAGUUGAGAUGUUGAAUGAUGCAUCCAUGAACACUACAAGUGUUAAG